UAGGAAAACGGGAAUUGAACCCACACUAAAAAACUCAAAAUUUUUCGUACUUCUUAUACUACCUCCUA
rnacentral:tRNA from 1 species